rnacentral:lncRNA from 1 species
GUGAGAAGCCAGCAGCACCAACCAAAUAGAAGGUGGAGAAGUGGCCCCCAGCUUCCCAGUUUGGGUUUGGGCCAAGACAACUAAGAAAAGGGUCCACCGUCUUCACUCCAGGUCAGCACAAGAAAGCUGCCAUGAUGGCUCCUGUGGAGAGACUCCCAUGCCUGCAGGUGGAAACCGAGGGGAUGAAGAUGAGAAGACCUCUACCCGGCACUGGUUUGGAAAACAGAGGACUGUCCCCUGAGCCUGCCAGCGAGUCACAUGUUUGGGUCCCUCAGCAGCCAGAGAAACGAUGAUACAGGACACUGGGGCAGGACAAAGGAGUGUGGCAGUAUUGUGGCCUCCAUGCAGAUGAUGACCCUGCAUUGUAUCAAGUAGAAAAAUGUCUAACCAAGACAGAGGAGAAUACGAACCCUCUCAGCUCAUAGACAGGUGAUGAUGUGGUUUCCAACUGACUUUCAAGCAAACAGAUUUCCAAGCGUGCUUGAAGAGGGCAGUAAAUGAGAAGGCACAAGG